AUCACGUGACUUAGAACGCAUCCUGAUCCCUCCGCAGAGAAGCUCUCCGCUCUCGUCGUUUGACGCGAGCUUCAGCACAUUAUCGGUAUAAAGACGGUAAUAUAACUCAGAAAGUCCAUCUGUGGUGGCCGGAAGGCGUUGAAGGAGCACCUGCAGAUAAACUCGGCUUAAUUCUGGAUUUGGACCUUUUUGUUUUGUCGCGGUUGUUUCUGGACGUCGAUGAGCGCGGAGGGAAGUUUACUCCGUCUCCGGAUUAUUCGACGAUAAAAUGUUUGUUUUCGUGUUUAAUCUGUCACAAAGGAGCUGUGUGUGUUUGUCAAAGCAGCUACAAACUGUUUGGGGUGAACAUGGAGCGGAGACGGAGAGGAAUAAGGAGCUUGUGUUUGAGGCCUGGAUACGACUACAGGAAAUCUACAAACAUGGCGACUGUACAGUGGAGUGUAGCCAGCGAGUCUCUGCGGGUGGACGUGCUGUCUGCACUGCGGGUAGCUGACCAGACCUAACCGACAUCAUAUUAACGGUGUUAAGUCCAUCACAGUGAUUUCUUUUAGAGGGUCUACAACACUCUGGAGGAAAUCUUUAAACCACCGAGCUCGCCGUGGAUUUUCAGUCGGACCAGGAGCGACGAGGGCGGGGGGAGAGAGCUGAAGUAGGAGCGGGCGUGUCGAUCUGCUGCGCGGCCAGGCUAAACCUCCAGCUCCCGGUGUUUUCCUCACAAACACCACAUCCAUCACAAUAACGUGAAAGGAUUGGAUCUCCUGAUCGGACAAUUCCAUCAAGAAAUGCAGCGUGAACAUUUAAAGAGAAAAGUGGUGAAGACGGGAAACAUGACUCUGAAAACCACACACUCCAAGGACAGAGCAUUUACUUAGUGUCAGUGACAGAAAUGUAAAAUAGCUUAAAUGAGUGAGGAUGACGAUGAAGGAAACACCUGUGUCUGCUCUAAUAAGCAGGAGCGCGACGCUGGAUAGGAACUCGCUAAGUCAGCCCAGGAUUUCCAAGCAUGUUCACAUAGCAGAUGGCAUGUUGGCAGCAUCUAACCAAUCACAAACAUGGGUAAGAGUACUGUGUCGGUGGAGACACAGUUUAAUGUAGUGUAAAAAUAUGCUUUAAGCACUUUGGUCAGUAAAAUUGUUUGGUGCCAACAGAAAAACAAAAACAAAUCAAGGAAUAAAGUUGCAUUUCAGGGGGAAGUAAACUGUUCCACAGUUUUGCUGCUGGGGUUUGGAAAGAUCCCUCUUUGUUUUCAAACGACCCGUGGAAUAGUCAGGAGACCACUAUCAGUGGAUCUAAGGAAGAAGCUCAAUGAGUGUGGGGGCCUCUCCUCAUAAGGACAUAAAAGUAAGAGUCAGGAUCUUAAACUAAUAUCUGUACCCAACUGGAAGCCAGUGCAAGAACUAACAUGGAAGUGAUGUCAGUGACGUUAUGACUGUGGUUUAACAGCUGUGCUGCAGCAUUUUGGAGCGCUUACAAUAAUCAAAUUGGGAGAAGAUGAAGUGAUGAAAAAGCAUCUCCAGUUCACCGUUGGAGACAAUAGUCCUGAGUUUGGCAAUAUUUCUUAAGUGGAAAAAGCAGGAGUGGGUCAAAGAUGCUUUCUCUGCUAUCAGAUGCAUUGAUCAGUGUUUAUUUACAGCUGCCAGAGGAGUGUAGGGCGUGGCACCAACAUGAACGCACCUCUCCUGAUCCUGCUUUACAGGCCAAAACCAGUCUCUGCUUUUCCAGGGCAACCCAGACUGUCAGUGGCAAAUCAUGUAAACCAUUUACGCUGAUUUACUGACACUGGAAUAACUUUACUGUUAUGGCACAACAUUCAUUUGAAACGUGUUUGUUGCUGGAACGUUUCUGGUCCUGUACUGUAAAUGUCCAAGUCAACAAAGCAUAAGGUUUAGUUUAAGCUUUUCUUUAAUGAUCAACAAUUUGUUUCCCCCUCCCACACUUUCAAAUUAUUUACCCAUCCAUAUGGAGGAUACAUGUCUGCACUUUGAAGCUUUCCUCCUGGCAGCAGUGUAAGCUGAGCAAUUCUCUACAAGAAACAUGUUGAUAUCACCAAACUGCAGCUCUGGGAGAGAUGUCGCCACUUUUAGGGAUUUAAAUAAAGCUGCCGGGGAAGAAUUUAGAUCACAAGUUCCUAAAAUAUUAUCUUCAUAUCUUCAUUUUUCCUCCACGGAUAGAUGAUCCAGGAAUUCUUGCCCAAGACUUCCUGGGUUCUACUAACUAUUUUUAGCCCCUGCUCCACGCUGCACUCUUAACACUUCCCACUCUCACAACAUUUGUGUUAAGUCCCACAGUAUCCCAAUGCUGGGCUGAGAUCUGAGGGACCCUCCAUUAGGGCUGGGCGAUAUAUCGAGUUUUUAAAAA